rnacentral:rRNA from 1 species
UUGACUGUACAAAGGUAGCAUAAUCAUUAGUCUUUUAAUAGAAGGCUGGUAUGAAAGGUUUAACGAAACAUAAACUGUCUUAUUUAUAAAUUUAUAAUUUAACUUUUAAGUUAAAAGGCUUAAAUGUUUUUGGAGGACGAGAAGACCCUAUAGAGCUUUACAUUAUUUUAUUUUUAGUAUUUAUUUGUUUAAUAAUUUGAUAUUAAUUUUAAUAUUGUUUGUUGGGGUGACAAGAAAUAUAUAUUUAACUUUUAUUAUUUAGUUUACAUUAAUUUAUGACUUAUUGGAUCCAAUACAUUGAUCAUUAGAUUAAGUUACCUUAGGGAUAACAGCGUAAUAU